rnacentral:rRNA from 1 species
GACGAACGAGGGAGGAGGGAGGAACACAUGCAAGUCGAACGGAAAGGCCCUGCUUUUGUGGGGUGCUCGAGUGGCGAACGGGUGAGUAACACGUGAGUAACCUGCCCUUGACUUUGGGAUAACUUCAGGAAACUGGGGCUAAUACCGGAUAGGAGCUCCUGCUGCAUGGUGGGGGUUGGAAAGUUUCGGCGGUUGGGGAUGGACUCGCGGCUUAUCAGCUUGUUGGUGGGGUAGUGGCUUACCAAGGCUUUGACGGGUAGCCGGCCUGAGAGGGUGACCGGCCACAUUGGGACUGAGAUACGGCCCAGACUCCUACGGGAGGCAGCAGUGGGGAAUAUUGCACAAUGGGCGGAAGCCUGAUGCAGCAACGCCGCGUGCGGGAUGACGGCCUUCGGGUUGUAAACCGCUUUCGCCUGUGACGAAGCGUGAGUGACGGUAAUGGGUAAAGAAGCACCGGCUAACUACGUG